GAUGAAGAACGCAGCGAAAUGCGAUAAGUAAUGUGAAUUGCAGAAUUCAGUGAAUCAUCGAAUCUUUGAACGCACAUUGCGCCCUCUGGUAUUCCGGGGGGCAUGCCUGUUCGAGCGUCAUUAUAACCACUCAAGCUCUCGCUUGGUAUUGGGGUUCGCGGUUCCGCGGCCCCUAAAAUCAGUGGCGGUGCCUGUCGGCUCUACGCGUAGUAAUACUCCUCGCGAUUGAGUCCGGUAGGUCUACUUACCAGCAACCCCCAAUUUUUACAGGUUGACCUCGGAUCAGGUAGGGAUACCCGCUGAACUUAAGCAUAUCAAUAAGCGGAGGA
rnacentral:misc_RNA from 1 species